rnacentral:miRNA from 2 species
CUUGUGCGUGUGACAAUGGCU